rnacentral:rRNA from 1 species
UACGAAGGGGGCUAGCGUUGUUCGGAAUUACUGGGCGUAAAGCGCACGUAGGCGGAUUUGUAAGUCAGGGGUGAAAUCCCGGGGCUCAACCUCGGAACUGCCUUUGAUACUGCAAGUCUUGAGUCCGAUAGAGGUGAGUGGAAUUCCUAGUGUAGAGGUGAAAUUCGUAGAUAUUAGGAAGAACACCAGUGCGAAGGCGGCUCACUGGAUCGGUACUGACGCUGGGGUGCGAAAGCGUGGGGAGCAAACAGG